CCUACGGGUGGCAGCAGUGGGGAAUAUUGCACAAUGGGGGAAACCCUGAUGCAGCGACGCCGCGUGAGUGAAGAAGUAUUUCGGUAUGUAAAGCUCUAUCAGCAGGGAAGAAAAAAGACGGUACCUGACUAAGACGCCCCGGCUAACUACGUGCCAGCAGCCGCGGUCAUACGUAGGGGGCAAGCGUUAUCCGGAUUUACUGGGUGUAAAGGGAGCGUAGACGGCGCGGCAAGUCUGAAGUGAAAGGUAGGGGCUUAACCCCUGAACUGCUUUGGAAACUGGCAUGCUAGAGUGCUGGAGAGGUAAGUGGAAUUCCUAGUGUAGCGGUGAAAUGCGUAGAUAUUAGGAGGAACACCAGUGGCGAAGGCGGCUUACUGGACAGUAACUGACGUUGAGGCUCGAAAGCGUGGGGAGCAAACAGGAUUAGAUACCCGAGUAGUC
rnacentral:rRNA from 1 species